GAUGAACGCUGGCGGCGUGCCUAACACAUGCAAGUCGAGCGACCACACGAUGAGCUUGCUCCUCUGACGUUAGCGGCGGACGGGUGAGUAACACGUGUAUCACCUACCUAUAAUACUUGGAUAACUUCGGGAAACCGCAGCUAAUACCGGAUAAUAUAUUGAACCGCAUGGUUCAAUAGUGCAAGGCGGUUUUCCUGUCACUUAUAGACGGAUCCGCGCUGGAUUAGCUAGUUGGUAAGGUAACGGCUUACCAAGGCAACGAUGCGUAGCCGACCUGAGAGGGUGAUCGGCCACACUGGAACUGAGACACGGUCCAGACUCCUACGGGAGGCAGCAGUAGGGAAUCUUCCGCAAAGGGCGAAAGCCUGACGGAGCAACGCCGCGUGAGUGAUGAAGGUCUUCGGAUCGUAAAACUCUGUUAUUAGGGAAGAACAAAUGUGUAAGUAACUAUGCACGUCUUGACGGUACCUAAUCAGAAAGCCACGGCUAACUACGUG
rnacentral:rRNA from 1 species